AUCUGGAGUUCCACCUCGGUGCGAAUCGCGGGUCCAGAAACCCUCUCGUUUUGGAGGAAUAAGCGGAGCCCACUGGAGCGUCUGGACGGGAUCUCAAAUCAAAGCCGCCGGCCGGAGCUCGACUCGAGCUUCUUCUUACUCUUAUUAAUCACCCGGAUGAUUUACCCGCGCGCUUGCAAUAAAUGACGAGGACGAGGCGCAGUCGUCACCUCUACAGCGCUCGCUUUGCGUCGCGGCGUCGACGAAGGCGAAUCGUCGAAUGGAAGCGUACCCCCGACAGUUUUGAUCCAUGGGUUUCCGAUCGAGGAAGGAGGACGGCUUCGGUGGAUCUAAUGAGGGGCGAUUCGGAGACACCGGAGAGUCGGUGGAGGCGGCAGUGCAGGUGUAGGAUCUGAAGCCGGUGAACUCCCAGCAGAGCAUCACAUGGAGAGGCUUGGCUAAGCUCCUUCGCCCAACUCAAGGAGUUGAUCUGCAAACCGCAGGUGUCAGGUGUGUGUUGUUCCCCUAUUCUCGUCUGUUUUCUGUGGUAUAAGAUUAGAAAUUUCGUUGGUUGAACUUGUAAUUCUGGUAAAAAUUCAGUGAAACCGGAUUAGAAUUUUUCAUAUUUGUUUCCUUUUACCUGUAGCACGAAUCAAAUAUUUAUCAACUUUGUUUCCAAUGUCAA